CCCCGACCUGAGUGGAGCUCUUUUUGCGAGGAGGCACGCCGAACAAAAAAGCGGGAACGGAGGGCGGAAAAAGCU
rnacentral:misc_RNA from 1 species